rnacentral:ncRNA from 1 species
ACCAAGGAGUCUGACUUGUGUGUGGAUAAACGGUUGAGUAAACCGAUAAGGCGCAAGGAAUCUGAUUGGUGGGAUCCCUCUGAGGGGUGCACCGCCUACCAACCUUGAUCUUUUGAGAAGGGUUCAAGUGUGAGCAUACCUAUCGGGACCCGAAAAGUGGUGAACUAUGCUUGAGUGAGGCGAAGCCAUAGAAAACUCUGGUAGAGGCCCGCAGCGAUACUGACGUGCAAAUCAUUCAUCUGACUUGGGUAUAGGGGCGAAAGACUAAUCGAACUGUCUAGUAGCUGGUUCCCUCCGAAGUUUCCCUCAUGAUAGCUGGAACUCAUGUGCGAUUUCUAUCGGGGAAAGCCAAUGAUUAGAGGCCUCAGGGGCGCAAUGCCCUCGACCUAUUCUCAAACUUUAAAUAGGUAGGACAGCGCGGCUGCUUUGCUGAGCCACGCCACAGAAUCAAGAGCUCCAAGUGGGAUAUUUUUGGUAAGCAGAACUGGUGAUAUGGGAUGAACCGAAAGUCAGGUUGUGGUGCCAAACUACACGCUAACCUAGAACCCACAAAAGGUGUUGGUCGAUUUAGAUAGCAGGAUGAUGGUCAUAGAAGUCGAAAUCCACUAAAGAAUAUGUAACAACUCACCUUCCGAAUCAACUAAACCUAAAAAUGGAUGGCUCUUAAGCACGCGACCUACACCCGGUCGUUGGGGCAAGUUCCAGGCCUCGAUGAGUAGGAGGGCACGGUGGUCGCUGCAAAACCUUGGGCGCGAUCCUGGGCAGAGUGGCCGUCGGUGUAGAUCUCGGUGGUAGUACAAAAUAUUCAAAUGAGAACUUUGAAGGCUAAAGAGGAGAGAGGUUCUAUGUGAACGACACUUGUACAUGGUUUAGUCGAUCCUAAAGGUCGGGGGAACCCCGAUAGUAGCGCAUUUUGUGCGUACUCCAAAAGAGAAUUGGGUUACAAUUCCUAAAUCAAGAUAUGGUGGUUGACGUCAACAUUAAAAAGUAUGGAUACAUCAGCGGGAGCCUUGGGAAGAGUUAUCUUUUUUGUUUAAUAGCCUGCCUACUCUGGAAUCGGCUCAGCCAGAGGUAGGGUCCAGAGGCUGGAAGAGCACCGCACGCUGCGUGGUGUCCGAUGCUCUCCUGACAGCCCUUAAAAAUAUGAAGGACCGAAUUCCAUCCACUCCCGGUUGCACUCUUAACCGCAUUAGGUCUCCAAGGUGAACAACCUCUAGUC